rfam:Mus musculus chromosome 7, GRC primary reference assembly.
GGAUCAAUGAUGACAAACCAAUGUCAUGAAGAAAUGUGAUGACAUAAAAUUUAUGCUCAAUAGGAUUACGCUGAGGCCC